GCCGUUCGAUCGAGUGACAUGGAUCGCUCACGUGGCUUCGUCCGCGUGGUCUUCCGCGUUAGCUUCCUUGUCACGCGGCGUGUUCUGGUUGACCGGGGCCGCUGACUGGGCUGCUGACGUGGCGUAACUUUGUUAAAUUACGUUUUGAUCCCCGAUUUCUGAUUUUCUUUUUAAAAACACCUCCAUAAUCAAAAUUUUUACCC
rnacentral:lncRNA from 1 species